AUAAUUUUUGUUUUAAAUUUAUUUACAUAAUAUUAUAAUCUAUAUUAACAUAUUAGUAUAAUUUCAAGCAUAUUGAUUAGCUCCGAUUACUGGAAUAAACCAUACAAAUUGUUAUCCAUUCGUAAUUUAUAUUAUUACAAGCAUUAACGUGUAUCAAGAUGGAUUAAUUAAUCCACAUGCAUAGCUCGUCCAUUAAUACAAUAUAAUAAAAUACAUCAUAAUAACUAUA